rnacentral:rRNA from 1 species
UAAUCAAUACAUGGCGGAUACGCGACUGUAAUACAUGUGACGCGCGUGGGGCUCGCUCGGUGAAGAGUCGCACACCGUGCAAUGGGCACAACCGUCCAAGUCGACAUCGUUUACAGCGUGGACUACCAGUGGUAUCUAAUCCUGUUUGCUCCCCACGCUUUCGCACCUGAGCGUCAGUCUUUGUCCAGGGGGCCGCCUUCGCCACCGGUAUUCCUCCAGAUCUCUACGCAUUUCACCGCUACACCUGGAAUUCUACCCCCCUCUACAAGACUCUAGCUGACCAGUUUCAAAUGCAGUUCCCAAGUUAAGCUCGGGGAUUUCACAUCUGACUUAAUCAACCGCCUGCGUGCGCUUUACGCCCAGUAAUUCCGAUUAACGCUUGCACCCUCCGUAUUACCGCGGCUGCUGGCACGGAGUUAGCCGGUGCUUCUUCUGCGAGUAACGUCAAUCACUGCGGUUAUUAACCACAAUGCCUUCCUCCUCGCUGAAAGUACUUUACAACCCGAAGGCCUUCUUCAUACACGCGGCAUGGCUGCAUCAGGCUUGCGCCCAUUGUGCAAUAUUCCCCACUGCUGCCUCCCGUAGGAGUCUGGACCGUGUCUCAGUUCCAGUGUGGCUGGUCAUCCUCUCAGACCAGCUAGAGAUCGUCGCCUAGGUGAGCCAUUACCCCACCUACUAGCUAAUCCCAUCUGGGCACAUCUGAUGGCGUGAGGCCCGAAGGUCCCCCACUUUGGUCCGAAGACGUCAUGCGGUAUUAGCUACCGUUUCCAGUAGUUAUCCCCCUCCAUU